rnacentral:rRNA from 1 species
GAUGAACGCUGGCGGCGUGCCUAAUACAUGCAAGUCGAGCGAACGGACGAGAAGCUUGCUUCUCUGAUAUUAGCGGCGGACGGGUGAGUAACACGUGGAUAACCUACCUAUAAGACUGGGAUAACUUCGGGAAACCGGAGCUAAUACCGGAUAAUAUUUUGAACCGCAUGGUUCAAAAGUGAAAGACGGUCUUGCUGUCACUUAUAGAUGGAUCCGCGCUGCAUUAGCUAGUUGGUAAGGUAACGGCUUACCAAGGCAACGAUGCAUAGCCGACCUGAGAGGGUGAUCGGCCCCCCUGGAACUGAGCCACGGUCCAGACUCCUACGGGAGGCAGCAGUAGGGAAUCUUCCGCAAUGGGCGAAAGCCUGACGGAGCAACGCCGCGUGAGUGAUGAAGGUCUUCGGAUCGUAAAACUCUGUUAUUAGGGAAGAACAUAUGUGUAAGUAACUGUGCACAUCUUGACGGUACCUAAUCAGAAAGCCACGGCUAACUACGUG